UACGUAGGGUGCGAGCGUUGUCCGGAAUUACUGGGCGUAAAGAGCUCGUAGGUGGUUUGUCGCGUUGUUCGUGAAAACUCACAGCUUAACUGUGGGCUUGCGGGCGAUACGGGCAGACUGGAGUACUGCAGGGGAGACUGGAAUUCCUGGUGUAGCGGUGGAAUGCGCAGAUAUCAGGAGGAACACCGGUGGCGAAGGCGGGUCUCUGGGCAGUAACUGACGCUGAGGAGCGAAAGCGUGGGGAGCGAACAGG
rnacentral:rRNA from 1 species